rnacentral:lncRNA from 1 species
CCGCACGUCCCUCUCGCCAAAGAAAGGUCGCUCGGGAGGCUCCUGUACGUUUAUUUCUAGCCCUUUCUCUUUCCUUCGGCUAAGCCAGACAGAAAAGGCACACAGACAGACGUCUGCACAACGUGCCUCAGGAUCCCUCAGGGAAAGCAGCUAACGUGGCAGUCCCUCCGCCCCUUUCCUUCCCCACGGGGUGGCCGCCAUGUUUCCAGAACACAAAAUGGCGACACGUGGCCUGGAUUCGUUGCCAACGAGAAAUUGGGGUCGACCCGAAAGCUCCAAAAUGCCCCCACCUCCCCACCCCGUGCGUGUUGGCCAGCGCCUUUCCCUCGCAGCCAGUGCUCUAACCACUCUGGUCCAAACCUAAGCUGCCGAAUUUGAAUGCAUUUCCCCCAUUAAUUUGAAGUGGGAAUGUUUAUAACUGUAAAAUGUAGGUGUGAUGCCGAGUCUCUCAUAGUCUUAAGUUUAAUAAUGGGUAAUGGUGGGGGGGGGGCAGUGCCAGUGGAUGAUUUGGGCCCCCAGUUACCAAAGCAUUUAAGAAUCACUGCUUUAAGAAAUAAGAUGGGAAGUUACUGAUUACCUAGACCUCUAGCCCAGGCUGGUGUGCUGGAGAGACUGAGAAAUGGUCUUAUAAAAUUUCUUAGAAUUUCCAUGAAGCAGUUUGGAUACCUGUGACCAUUUUCAGAGGCUAGCUGACGGUGAACCUAAGUUUACCACAAGUGGUAUUAACUUUCAGUAUGGAGGGACAGAUGUUAUUGUGCAUUUACCAGCGCAAGAUCCUGUGCUAGCAUUUUACUGCAUACUAUCUUUAAUUUUUACAGUGAUCUGAGGUAGGUGUUAUCUUUUUCUCUCUCUUUCUCUAACAGAUGAAUUCACUUAGGCCCAGAGAGAUGAAGUGACUAAUUCAAAGUCACACAGUGGAGGAUGGAUUCCAGACCUUCUGAUUUCCUAAUUGGUGAGCACUUUCUCAAAUUUUUCUGUAAGUCAGUGUUUUAAAAUUUAAGUGCUAUUUGAAGUUUAGGUGAGCUUGUCAUUUAAAAGAACCUCUCAGGUAACCUUUUGGUGCAUAGUCACCCCGUUUGUAUCUUUUGGGGAUUCCCAGCUUUUCCUGGUGUGAACUAUACCUUGGCUCAAAUGCUAUUUAAAAAAAUUUUUUUAAUUAAAAAAUUGGUGUCUGGGUGAGAAUUGGGAGUGGGAAAUGAUUCAGCCCUACCCAAAGGCUGAAGUAUGUGUCAGUCCAGCCUUGUCUGUGGCACAUUCAAGUCUCCCUGGCUCUGUGGGAGCAAGCAGUUUCUGACUCACUUGCUUCCUUUAGCUACCCAUGGGCACGACUUCCGCCUUCCUCACCCCAGUGUCCCAACCAAGUAAAAAUAAAUAAUUUCACUUUGGCGCCAAGCCUCCAUUUCUCCGCAAAUAUUGACAGAGCAUGACAGUGUUAAGGAAAUCAUGGUCUAUGAACUCUUCAGUUCAGUGUAACGAAUAACUUGUAGGUCAAGCAAGGAAUAUGUGCCUGAACAGGGCUCUACUUGUGUGGUUGUUAGAGAUGGAGAGAAGGGCUUUUUGCUUCUUUUAACUUACAUUAAUGUCUUAUAUCAUAGUUUUCAAAGUGCCUUUGCGUUACUUUGUGUAAUUCUAUAACCAACUUUAAUUGGUGGGUACGUUAUAGCAACAAUGGCAGUACUAGCAUUAAGUGCUAACUUUGUGACUGGCACUGUUUGAAGCUUUAUUCUGUAUGUUAUUUCAGUGGCUCUCACAUUUUUUUUUUAAGUUUAUUUAUUUUGAGAGAGAAAGAGUGUGCAAGUGUGCAAGUGAGCCCCUGAGUGGGGUAGGGGUAUGUGUGUGUGUGGGUGGGGGCGGGGGGCAGAGAGAGAGAGAGAGAGAGGGAGGGAGAGAAUCCUAAGCAGGCUUUGUACCGUUAGCAUGGAGCUGGACUUGAUCUCAUGAACCCAACCAUGAGAUCAUGACGUGAACCAAAAUCAAGGGUUGGUUGCUUAACUCACUGAGCCACCCAAGUCCUCCCCUCCUUUUUUUUAAGAUUUUAUUUUUAAGUAAUCUAUAUACCCAUUGUGGGGCUCGAAUUCACAACCCCAAGAUCAGAGUCACGUGCUCCACUGACUGAACCAGCCAGGCACCCCAACAGUUUUAAAAGUAAGCCGUCAAGAGAUAACAUUUUUACAAAAUAAUUCAUAUAUACAUAGGCAUAUGUAACAGAAACCAAAUCUUUGUAAAACAGUAUUUAUUUUUACUGUAUGCGGUGUACUCUGGUAAUUUCUGUUCAUUUACAUGAAAUAAAAAGGUGUAUCACAACUGAAGUGACAAACUGUUAUAAGGUUGUGACCAAAAUGAUUAAUAUACACAUUUAAUCCUCACAAAACUCCUUAGAUGAAAGUGAUGCAAUUUAUAUUUUACAGAGAUACAGAAAGGUGAAGGAUUUUGUCUAACACACAGUUAUUAAAUAGUAAAAUAUGUAUUUGAAUUUGGGCAGUCUGAGCCCAGAGCCUGUAUAUUUACCACUGAGCUAGAUGUGGUCUCUGCAGAUGGCCUUGUCUUUAAGGGAGACAGAGUUGUUUAGGGAAUUAAAAUUAUUAGUAAAUGUUACAAACAAACUGAAGAGGCAAUAAGAGAAAUUCUAUGUAAUGAAGAGUUAUAUCCUUAUUCAAAAUACUCUGGUCUGUAUGAGGUGCUUGGGUGGCUCAGUCGGUUAAGCAUCUGACUUCAUCUCAGGUCAUGACCUCACAGUUCAUGAGUUCAAGCCCUGCAUAGGGCUCUGUGCUAACAGCUCAGAGCCUGGAACUUGCUUUGGAUUCUGUGUCUCCCUCUUUUUCUGCCCCUCCCCUGCUCACACUCUGUCUCUCUCUCUCUCUCUCUCUCUCAACAAUAAGUAAAUGUGAAAAAAAGUUAAAACAAAACAAAAUAUUUUGGUCUCUAAAUCUGUCACAUAUUUAUUUCCCCUGAAGAAAAAUGUGUAUGUUGGGUCUUUCUUCCUGUCUAUUUAAAGCCUUUUUGCCUGAAAAUUUCCAUUAAUUCCUUCUUAUCUGAGUACCUCCCUGAUUCUACUCACCUCUUCCUUCAAUAAAGACUUCCCCUUCCCAGCCUCUCUGUUUCCCCCAGAGUCCUAUAGCCCCCACACCCCCCCUGUAGGCUACGUUUGGCUGUUAAUUAAAUUGUAAUCUGCAUUGGUGUUGAUAGUGUGUUGUACAGGGCAUUGGUGUCAUGGGUGACCCAGAGAUCUGGUAAAGAGGACAUUGGACUUGGGAAUCUGUGGCUCUGGCCCCUAGCUCCAGCUCUCCCACUGUCUAACUUUGAGAAGUCUACAACCCAGUUCAAAACUGGGCUUUGGUUUUCCCACGUGUAAAACAACAGAUUAAAUGAUCUUUUCUAAUUCUAUCCAGGGAGUGAUGAUACUUGAUGAUCUUGGGUAUCUCUGGGAGGGAGGAGGAUUAUGUAAAUAUUUUACUUAUGGUAAAUUUCCCCCUCCCUUCCUCAGACCUGCAGUAUCUUGUGUAUACGUGAUUGAAUUCCACACCACCCAUUUUACAGAUGAAGCCACUGAGAUAUGGAACAAUUGACUAAAUAGUCACUGCCCCACCCCUGGAGCCUCACACAUGACUCUUCUCCUCCCAUUUGAAUGACUGCAGGUUAGUUAAGGGGUUUAAUGAGUUUGGGAAGGUGAGUCAGGCUUAGACUUUGGAAAUUGAACCACAGGAUUUAUAUUCCAUUCAGAGGAGGGAUUUUUGCUUCCUUUUACCUCACAUUGGCAUGUUUAUGAAAUGUUUUAAAGUGAUUUCACAUUAUUUACUAAUCAUCACAGGCACCCUUGCCAUAAAAGUAUAAAUAUGCCUGUUUUAUGGAAGAGCUAUCUAUAGAUCAGAGGAAUGAAGUGACUUGCCUAAGGUUACACAGCUUGUCAGGACCUGAGCUGGGUCUCUUGACUUCUAGUUGUGGAUUGUUCCUCUCCUUGGCUUUUGAUGCUAGUUGCACUGACUUUGACACAUGGAAUAGUUUUAUCUUUAACUCAGAAAGCUUUCAAUCCAGCCUUUAUUUUUCUGUCCCAGAGCAUCUAGUCCACUUAUGUUAGGUUCCUGAUUCUUUUGGUUUAAGAAAAGCUCUUUCCUCUUUUUGUCUAAUGUUUACAUUUAUGGGUUUGGGAAGUGGUGGGAAUUAUUCCUUGAUGAGGCCGUGGAGGCAGGGACCACAUCCCUGCCCCCCCCCCCGCCCCCCAAUCUACCUUUCCAGCAAAUGUACUACAGCUUUUUAAAAAUUUUUUUUUUUUUCAACGUUUAUUUAUUUUGGGACAGAGAGAGACAGAGCAUGAACGGGGGAGGGGCAGAGAGAGAGGGAGACACAGAAUCGGAAACAGGCUCCAGACUCCGAGCCAUCAGCCCAGAGCCUGACGCGGGGCUCGAACUCACGGACCGCGAGAUCGUGACCUGGCUGAAGUCGGACGCUUAACCGACUGCGCCACCUAGGUGCCCCAUUACAGCUUUUUAAAUUUGCCCUACCAACAUGCAGUUUUGCAAAAAAUAAACAAACAAAAAACCAACAUGGUUUCUUCUUCUCUUACUCUUUCAGAUUUAGCUUCUUAUAUUUCUUUUAUUUGAAAUUAUAGUAAACUGAGAGGAUAUUUACCCUAUCACUUUCUGGGAUACUACAAAGUAUAACCUACGAAAUAUUUCUUACCCACUUUGUAGAUAGGAACAAUAUUUAUAAUAAUAAUCUCAUAUACUGGUGACCCUGUGCUGCCGUUAUGGGGUUAAUACUGAGUUUUCUCAGAAACUUAAGAAAUAUAUUGGUGUGCCUUACAAAAGUGCCCAGGAAAUACAGCAGCAUCCUUGGUCUAAGUUCUCCCGGUUGGGGAAAGUAAUGCCUAUGGAUUCCCAAGGGUUACUCUGACUGAAAUAAGUCAUGGAGAAUGGAGUGCAGAGAAAAAUUAAAGGAAAAAUGAGAACAGAGUACAAAUGUAAAGUAUAGAAAAUGAGGAAGGAAAAAAGAUAAGAAAAGGAAAAAGACAAGGGCAGAGAAAAGAGAAGAAAACAAGAUCAGUGGAACGGAUAUGAAGAGAACAAUUCCGAGGUUCAUUUGCUCCUUAUGUGAUGUGGGAAGCAUAGGCUUGCACCAAGAAAGAGCACCUGGUAUGAGAACUCAUGAACUGAUCUGAAGCACCAUGUCUCUUUUUGAAUCUUCUUUUUCUAAUAUCAAGUAGGGAAAAUUUGUUUCUACUAUCAGCUGGGGAUGUGAUUAGACACCAAUAGUUUCAAUAUUAGCCUUAGUCCUAUUGGUUUAUCAAGGAAAAUGUGCUAUAAAAAUCACAUUAAAGUAUUCCAGGUCAAAUUUUAUCCUAUUCAUUCAGUAAGCAAUUUUUUUUUCAAUUAUUACUAUUUUUAAGUUUAAUUUUACUCUCAGUGUGGGGCUUGAACUCACUACCCCAAGAUCAAGAGUUGCAUGCUCUACCAACUGAGCCAGCCAGGCACCCCAGUCAGCAAAUACUUAUGGAUUGCUUGAUAUGUCCCAGACACUAAGGAUAUAAAAAUGAAUGAGAUCCUGUUCUUGCCUUCAAGAUGUUUAUGAUCUGGAAAGGGACACUGACAAGUAAACAGAUUUGCAGUACAAUAUGUUAAGGUAUUAGGAUAUAAGUAAGCAGAGGAUGCUACGGGCUUAGAAGAAGGCCCUUGAUUCAGCCUUGGAGGGAAUCCAGAAUGACUGCCUAGCGAAGGUGACAUUUAGGCUGAGUCCCAAGUUGGCAGAUUACAAGGUGGAGGGCAGGAAAGAGUAACUCCAGGCAGGGAAGCAAAAGCCCAAAGGCAGAGAGUAUGCAGUCCAUUCAGAAGUUGAAGCCACUUCAGGAAGGUAUGAAGGAUGUUUGCAUGAUCCAGUUUUUUGUGAUUGUUGUACUGCUUUAGAAGUGUACAUUAUUGAGACUUGAUUAUGCUUACUAGAGCACAAAAAGUCUAAAUCCUUAUUUUGUAGCAGGAUUCUCUUUUAAGAUGAAGGUAUCAGAGGGACAUCUGGAUGGCUUAGUUAAGCGUCUGACUUCCUGCUCAGGUCAUGAUCUCACAGUCUGUGGGUUCAAGCCCCGUGUCAUGCUCCGUGCCGACAGCUCAGAGCCUGGAGCCUACUUCAGAUUCUAUGUCUCCCUGUCUCUCUGUCUGUCCCCUGCUUGCUCGCUCUCUCUCUUUCAAAUAUUAAAAAAAUUUUUUUUGUAAAAGAUGAAGCUAUCGCAAAUUGUACUUCUGGUCUAUAGAUUGUAAGAAGAAAAUGUAAAUAAAGCACAGUCUUUGAAUUAGCAAAUGGUUAUUAAACUUCUGUGCAAUAAAGGAAAGAAGGUGCAAGGCAUAGCAUAUCCCCCCGCCAUUUUUUUUUUCUUUAGGAUUUUAUUUUUAACUAAUCUCUGUACCCAAUGUGGAGCUCAGACUUACAACCCCUGAGAUCAAGAGUCGCAUGCACCAUUCACUGAGCCAGCCAAGCGCCCCAGCAUAUCCCUUUCUUAUCCAACUUUUGGAUUUGAUUGUAUUCUGCUUUGUUUUUAAGGAGGUGUAUGUGUGGAAGUUUAGGGUCUUUGUUUAGUUGGUUAGGAUCUUUGAGUUAGGGGGGAGGGAAAGGAUUUCAAGAAUAAUUGCUACUUUAUGGCAGAACAAAAGAAAUACAUUUAAAAAGCUCUUUUUUUUUUUUUAAUGUUUAUUUAUUUUUGAGACAGAGAGAGACAGAACAGGAGCAGGGGAGGGGCAGAAGAGAGACAGGGAGACAUAGAAUCUGAAGCAGGCUCCAGGCUCCGAGCUGUUAGCACAGAGCUGGAUACAGGACUUGAACUCACGAACCGCAAGAUCAUGACCUGAUCCAAAGUCAGACGCUUAACCAACUGAGCCACCCAGGUGCCCCUAAAGCUCAUUUUUCUGAUCUCACCUACUGAGCACAAACAAGACUUAGGGAACAUUGUUAGUUAAUUCAACCAGACAAAGCAUUUAACAUUAUUCCCUAUGUAAAAUCUGUUGUGGACAUGGAUAUAGCUGCAUUAAAUAAAAACCUUAUGUGUAUUCAUUGGACAAUACUGGGAUUUUACCUGGAGUAAAAGAAAAAAAGUACUAUAUGUAGAGUAGGGAAGAACAUGCUUGGAAAAUAGCACACAGAUUCAGUGGUCAUUUCUCAGUCAUCUUCUUGACCCUGUAGCACCUGAAACUCCCUCCUUGCACAUUAGUUUUGUUUGACUUCCAGGAUGCCACUCUGUUGGUUUCCCCCCUCCUCACCAGCCCCUCCUUCUCACCCCCCCACCUUUUGGCUGAUUCCUCCUUAUCUCCUCAGCCUCUAAUGAAGGAGUACUCAGAUUAGUCCUUGCAUCCCUUCUCUGUUUAUACUCAUUCCCUAGGUGCUCUCUUUCAAGACCUCAAAUACCAUUUAUACCCUGAGAGCUCUCAAGUGUAUAGUACUAGCUUGGAUGUCUUCCCUUGAACUCAAGACUCAUAUCCAACUGCCUACAAGAUAUCAUCUCCACUUGGUUAUUUAAUAGCUUCUUGAGCUUAAUGUAUUCAGCAAAUUAAUUCUGGAACUUCUCUUCUCAAACAUGUACCUCUGCCAAUUCUUCCCCAUUUUAGUUUCAGUUGUAUUGAACAUAUGGAGGACUCUCCCUUGACUCUCUUCCUUUUCUUGCUCUCUUCAUCUAAUCUACUAGUAGGUCCUAUGAGCUCUACCUUAAAAAACAUCCCGGAUUUGAACACUUCUCACCACUUCCCCUGCUACUUUUAGAAUAGCCUUCUAAAUUGUCUUCCCUCAGUCUAAUCUGAACAGUGACCAGAGUCGUUUUGUUAAGUUUACAUCAAAUCAUUCCACUCCUCUGCUGAAAACUAUUCACUGGGUCCCACCCAUGUUAAAAAUUAAAGUCCUUACAGUGAUCUAAGAGGCCACAUAGCAUAUUCAGUGCUCCCCCAGCUGCUCUGACCUCAUCUUUUAUCACUUUCUCCUUGUGCUCUGGACACAUUGGUCUCCUUGCAGUUGCUCCAGCAUGCCAAGCCUUGAACUUCUUAGUGGUGUUCUUUGCCUGGAAUACUUCUUCCAGUUACCAGUAUGGUCUCCUUCCUUACCUCCUUCAGGUUUCUGCUCUUGUCACCUAGUUUGUGAAACAUUCCUUGACCAUCCUAUUUAAAGUAAAAGCCAUCUCCUGCCCUCUUCAUUCCUUCUUCCCUUUUCCUGCUGUAUUUUUCUCCACAGAACUUAUCACUGUUUGAGGUACUAUUCAUUCAUUCAUUCUUCACAUAUUUAUUGAGGGAUGCCUACUAUGUGCCAAGCACUGUACUGGGGACUCUCUCUACUAUAGUAUGUUUAUUAUUUGUCACCUGCCACUGGAAUGUAAAUUUCCUGAUGACUAGGACUUUGUUUUGCUUGUUGCUAUAUUGCCAUCUCCUAGAAUACUGUCUAGCACAUUGCAGUUGAAUGAAUACAUUUAUUCAGAUUUUAAACAAAAACGUAUUGAAUGUAUAGGGGAUUGUGUACCAGAUAAUGAGGGAAAGAUAUGUAUAAAUAAUAUAUUGUUCCUGCCCUCAAGUUGCUCAGUCUAAAAUAUGCUUAUUUUGACCUGAACAGUACUGUGUUCUCUAACAGGAUAAAGUGUUACAUCAUUUUGUAAUUGGGGAGGUGGAGGUAGGGACUAGUGUGCAAGGGUAUGGAUCUCUUCAGAGGUGAAGUCUUGCUUUAUCAGGCUUAUCAAUAAUUUGUACUGGUUCUGGGAGGGCAGGAUUGCUGAUAGCUCACUGCAUUACUGGCUUUUUGGAUUGUAAUUUCUGUUUAGUUUUGUCUUUUUGGGGCAGGAGCUUCUUUAAAAUCCUGCUAUCAGUCUUGGUUCUUUUUAGAUAUCUUCUAGGAACCUCUGUCACAGCCACUUUUUUCUUUUUUUUUUUUUUUUAAUUUUUUUUUUUCAACGUUUAUUUAUUUUUGGGACAGAGAGAGACAGAGCAUGAAUGGGGGAGGGGCAGAGAGAGAAGGAGACACAGAAUCGGAAACAGGCUCCAGGCUCUGAGCCAUCAGCCCAGAGCCUGACGCGGGGCUCGAACUCACAGACCGCGAGAUCGUGACCUGGCUGAAGUCGGACGCUUAACCGACUGCGCCACCCAGGCGCCCCACAGCCACUUUUUUCAAGAUAAGUGAAGGAGUUUACUAUCUUUACCUUCCUCCAUAUCUGAAAGUUCUUUUCCAGAAACUGUGGUCAUCGAUGUACUAACUGUUUGGUCUUGAACCUCUCAGAACCUCAGUUUCUGCACUUGUCAAAUGGAGAUAACGAUAAAUGACAUCAGUCUUUCUUCUUUUUAAAAAAAAAUUUUUUUUAAUCUUUAUUUUUGAGAGACAGAGAGACAGCAUGCGAGUGGGGGAGGAAUAGAGAGGGAGACACAAAAUCCGAAGCAGGCUUCAGGCUCUGAGCUGCCAGCACAGAACCCAAUGUGGGGCUCGAACUCACAAACCGCGAGAUCAUGACCUGAGCUAAAGUCAGACGCCCAACCGACUGAACCACCCAGGCACCCCGACGUCAGUCUGUCUUCUUAUGAGGAUGAAAUGAGUAAAUACUGAUUUUGAGAGUGGGGCAGUAGAGAAGGGAAAGAGAGAAGAAUUUCCUUUUUUUUUAUAAAGUAUUUUUAAAAAGUUUAUUUAAUUUUUUAAAAUCUUUUAUUUAUUUUUGAGAGAGCAGGGGAGGAACAGAGAGAGGAAGACAGAAUCUGAAGCAGGCUCCAGGCCCUGAGUUGUCAGCACAGAGCCUGAUGUGGGGCUUGAACCCGUGAAUGGUGAGAUCAUGACCUGAGCUGAAGUUAGACACUUAACUGACUGAGCCACCCAGGUGUCCCUAAAGUUUAUUUAUUUAUUUUGAGAGAGAGGGAGAGAGAGUGUGUGCUAGUGGAGGAGGGGCAGAGAGAGAGGGAGAGAGAGAAUCCGAAGCAGGCUCUAUACUAUCAUCACAGAGCUCGAUACAGGGUUUGAACUCACAAACUGUGAGAAUAUGACCUGAGCCGAAAUCAAGAGUCAGAUGCUUAACCAACUGAGCCACCCAGGUGCCACUGAAAAAAAAAUUUUUUUUUCUUUAUGUUUAUUUAUUUAGAGAGUGUGAGCUUGGGAGGGGCAGAGAGCCGAGAGAGAGGGGGGGACAGAGGAUCCGAAGAGGCCUCUGCGUUGACAGCAGUGAGCCCAAUGUGGGGCUCGAACUCACAAACUGUGAGAUCAUGACCUUAGCCAAAGUCAGAUGCUUAACCAGCUGAGCUACUCAGGAACCCCCAAAAAACUUUUUAAUACGCUUAUGUUUCAUUUCUACCGAGAGUAGUGAAGAUUUUUUUUAAUAUAUGUUUUUAAAUGUUUGUUUAUUUUGAGAGAGAGAGAGUGUGAGCAGGGGAAGAGUAGAGAGGGAGACAAGAAAAUCCCAAGCAGGCUCCACGCUGUCAGCACAGGGCUCGACGUGGGGCUUUAUCUCACAAAUCGUGGGAUCGUGACCUGAGCCGAAACCAAGAGUUGGUUGCUUAACUGAAUCACCCAGGAGCCCCAUAAAGAUUUUAUUUUUAAAAACAAAGAUGUUAGGGUCCUGGGUUUGGGCUUUAGGGUUAAACGUAAAAAAAAAAAAUGAUUAUUUAAAAAAAUACAUUAAUAUAUUGUUUUUUACAGAGUAACAGGUUUUUAGAAAAUAUUUCCUUGUGUUUCUACUCAGGUUAUUACUUUUGUAUUACAGAAGGGCAGUGAAAUACUAGAACCCCACCCCAGGCUGCGUGGUGAGCUGGUGUCUACGUAGGCAAACAACCAUUUCCUUUUAGGUGAAGUUGGAGUUCAGGAAGUACUAUUUGAAGAGGCUCAAAGGGAUUGAUGAUGAUAACAACAGCAAUAAUAGUAGUGUCUAACUGAUGAACCAGGCACUUUAUGUAGAUUGUCUUAUUUUAACAGCAUAGCAACCACAUGAAGUCUGGUGCCUUGAGAAGUACAGCAGUGUAGGAGUAAAGAGCAUAGACUCUGGGGUCAAACUUUCUGUACUCACUUCACAGCUUUGCCAGUAACUAGCUGUGUGGUCUUGAGUGAGAAAACUGCCUCUUCUUCUUCUGUAAGAUGAAGAUAAUAAUAGUAACUGCUUCAUGAGGUUGUAACGAUUAAAUGAUGUAAGCCCUGUAAAGCACAGUACUUGGCAUAUAGAAAGUGCUCACCAAAUUUUAUUGUAAUAAAAGUAGAUGGAGAAACAGAGGCUUAGAAAGAGGGAAGUUAAUUUGCCUUAGUGACACAGCAAAUAUAAAUGACAGAACAGUAAUUUGUGCCUGGGAAGUCAAACUCCAUUGCCCUUCCUUCCUUCCUUCCUUCCUUCCUUCCUUCCUUCCUUCCUUCCUUCCUUUCUUCCUUCCUUCUUCCUUCCUUCUUUCCUUCCUUAAAUAGGCUCCACAUGGGGCUUGAACUUAAAACUUUGAGAUCAGGAGUUGCAUGCCACUGACUGAUCCAGCCAGGCACCCCAUUCAGCGCUCUUGUUUCUUAACCAUUACAUUGUACCGCCAUUAUGGAUUGAGGGUGAGAGCCUGGACAAGAACCAUAUUUUGUCCAACUUGAGGUGAGCAUAGAUCUAAAGGUCACACUUGGGUUCAGACCUAUGGAAGCUUUAUUUGUGCUCUUUUUUUUUUUUUAACAUUUUAAAUUUAUUUUUUGAGAGAGCAAGGGCAGGGGAGGGGAAGAGAGAGAGGGAGACACAGAAUCUGAAGCAGCUUCAGGCUCUGCACAGAGCCUGAAGCAGGGCUUGAACUCAUGAACUAUGAGAUCAUGACCUGAACUGAAGUCAGACACUUAACCAACUGAGCCACCCAGGGACCCCUUUAUCUGUGUUCUUAACACUGUAGCAUGUACUGGUUAUUCUCUGAAGUGAUUGUUCCCUAGAUCCAAACAAAUGAAUGAGUGAUGGGUUAUUUAUGGUCUGCUGAGGGGUUGAGUGUUCCCUGGCUGGGGCCAGGAAAUGGAGCUGAAUAAACACCUGUAUCUUACCCACUGCUCUUGGACCUAAGUAGGAGCUUGUCUAGUGUCUUUUGUUAUUAUGAUUGUUACUCCUUAUACAACUGGUAAUGAUGAGAAGCUGAGCAGUGUAUAUAUCAAGCACUUUAUUUUUUAUUUUAUUCAUUUAUUUUUAAAAUUCUUUCUCUCUCUCUCUCUCUCUCUCUCUCUCUCUCUCUCUCUCUUUCUUUCUUUUGUGCGAAUCAGGGAAGGGAGCAGACAGAGAGAGAGAAUCUCAGAGACUCCACGCUCAGUACACAGCCCAACUCGGGGCUCAGUCCCAUAACCCUGGGAUCAUGACCGGAGCCAAAACCAAGAGUUGGGUGCUCAACUGACUGAGCCACCCAGGCACCCAGUAAAUAUUUUAUUUUUAAGUAAUCUCUGCACCCAACAUGGAGCUCGAACUCACAACCCCGAGAUCAAAAGUUGCAUCCCCUCCCAACUAGGCCAGCCAGGAGCCCCUACAUUGAGCACUUUAUGUGCCAUGCAUUUGACAUAGAUUAUCUCAUCUAGUCCUUAAUGUAACCGUAUGAGGUAGUCACUCCUAACCCUAUUUUAUAGAAACAGAGAGAUUAGGAAACUUGCUUAAACUCACAUAGUGUGUGUGGUGGAGCUGGGAUUUGAAUACACAGUCUGACUCUAGAGUCCACAUUCUUGAUCUCUACACUCUAUUGUUUCUAUUCUUUCCUGUGUAAAGUAUAUAGUAUAUGGUAGGUGGCUUAGUAGGUCCAGUCCUGUUUUUCCCAUCUGAAAAAUGGGAAGAUUUUGACUAGUGGGCUAGAAAUAAGGAGGCCUGUGAUCUUGUCCUAACCUUGUCACCAACUUGCCACAUCCAGGACUUCACUUUUCUUAGCCUCAUUGUCCUCAUUCAUUAAACAAAAGGGUCACUCUAGAUGGUCUCUGAGAUCCCUUCUAACUCUUAAUGUUCUGAUUGACCAUAUGAAGUGAGGAGAAUAACACCUGCUCAACUCCUUGAUUUUGGAGUGGUGGUAUUUGUGAGGUUUUAGGGAGUCUGCUUUGUGUAAGGGAAGAUGCCAGAUUUUAGGACAGAGAACAUUGCUUUCCUGAAGAAGGUAGGUCUGGGCUCUUUUUUGAGGGUGGUUGCCUAGGGAACCUAGCCUCUGGCCAGCAACAGUCAGGAAUGCUUUGGUUAAGAGUUGGCUACAGAUAACUAAAACAAGCAGCACAUUUAGGUUUCACUUUCCACCCUCCCCCCCCCCCCAGAUACCUUUCCUUUUCAUGCUCCCAGUUUGAUACACUUCUAUAUAUUAGUAUUUAACAGGAGUUUGUUAUUUAAAUUUUUAUUGUAAUCUUAUGAGGUAAGUACUAUUCUAAAUUUACAGUUAAUGAAAGUGAGGCAAAUAGAGUUAAAUAAUUUGUCCAUAGUUACUCAAGUGGAAAGUGGUAUUCAACCCACUAUGUUGUACUGCCUGGUAGGAACUUAAAAAAAAAAAAAAAGCAAAGGGAGGAUUCUUUAUUUAUUGGUGGUGUUUUGUUUUGUUUUUUCUUUAAAAAGUUUUUUUUAAGUUUAUUUAUUUUGGUAGAGUGUGAGCAGGGUAGGGGUAGAGUGAGAGGGUAGAGAGAGAAUCCCAUUGUGGGGCUUGAACUCAUGAACUGUGAGAUCAUGACCUGAGCCGAAAUCAAAUUGGACACUUAACCAGCUGAGCUACCCAAGUGCCCCUGUUUUUGUUUUCUUUAGAAUAGUAGACUCUUGGAGUUGGAAAGAGCCUUUACCAUAGUCAAUCUCCUUGCCUACUGUCUGCCAUCUGGUUACAGGAACGCUUUCCAUCAUACCCCUGACAGAUGAUCACCCAAGUUCUUUUUGAAUACUUCCAUUGCUGGGGAGCUAGCUCAUUACUUCUUGAGGAAUCCCAUUAUAUGUGACUUGUUCUCUUGGGUAAGAGAUUAUUUCUUGUUUUGAAAUUAAAUCUAAUUGAGAUGACUUACCAGUUUUAGGCCUGUCUUCUGGAACCGUUUAGGAUAAUUAUGAUCCAUCUUCCAUAUGCCAAUCUUGUUAAUGUUUGAAGACCCUUUUCCUAUUUAUAAGUCAUUUGUAGUUUUCUCAUAGCAUCUAAACUUGCUUUCAGUUUGGAUUGGUCUGCACAAAGCAGUCUCUAUUUUUUAUUGCUUUGCAAGUGCAGCCUUGCAACAGAUCUGUGCUUCACUUCUUAUGGUUAGGCACAAAGUAUGGGCUCUUUCCACAUCUUUGGAGAACGAAUAAAUGGUGAGCUGAGUCUCUACUAUAGUAUAUGAGUCUGAAGGGUUUGCAGUUUCCUACUCUUGUAAUCUAAUGUCCAUUAGACUGUUGCCCUGUACACACUGUUAGAGCUCACAAAAUGGCUGGAAGUUUAUCCGGGCAUUUGACAACAUUGCAUUUACUUCAUCAGGCCACUAGGUGAUGAACAACUCACAAACCCAGACUUCCAGGGGCAGUUGUAUACAGGACAGUUUUAGAUUGUAGUUGGAAAGGCUAUCAGAAGUCAUUUGGUACAACCUUAUUAAAAGGUCUUUUGGGGAUGGGGGGAGGGGAAACAUGUCUUGUGUAUACUUUGUCUUUCCCAGCUUUAUUCCAAUUUUAAAUAUUAAUUUGAAUAGGGUACUUCUUUCUCUGAGUGAUCUUAGAAAAGGGGCCUGGGUGGUACUUUCAAGGUUCUUUUGUGCCCAAUUAUGUAUAUGUAUAUUUCAAAGGUUUUAUUUUUAAGUAAUCUCUACCCAACGUGGGGCUCAAACUUAUAGCCCUGAGAUCAAAAGUCUCAUGUUCUACCAACUGAGCCAGCCAGGUGCUCCUGUAUUUUACCAUAAUGUAGGAAUGAUGUCUUGGCUUGGUUUAGGAUUCUCAAAUAGUAGUUCUAGCCACUACAAAGUCUACAUGCAGCUUUCUUCUGUCUUCAGUUUCAAGUGAUACAGAUGGGAAGUCCAGUGCCAAUAGGAUUAUUUUUCCUUGUAAGUAAUUACCUGUCCUUUCUCUUUGGAAGUUUGUAAAUUUUUUUCUUCAUGCUUAGAUUUCAUCAUGAUAUGCUUUGGGUGUGUUUCUUUUUAAAGUAACUCUGCUUGCCCCUUGUUAACCUUUUUUAGAUCUAAAAACUUAAGUCUUUUCUUAACUCAAGGAAGUUUCCAUCUGUUUCCAACCUUCACAGAAGAAGAAACUGUCCAGAAAGAUGACUUACUCAAGGUCACUCAGCUAGUUAAAAAUGAACUUCAAGCAAAUAACUUGACUUCUUUGAUGACCUAUAUUUUCAUUGUACUGAAUAUUGCUCUGUUGAGAGGGCCAACAUGAAAAACUUGGGAAAUUUUUUAGUGAGACACGAAUUUUGCUGAGGGUCCGUGGGGACAUGAAGAAGGACAAAGAGAUGAUAAAAUUAAUUAUGAUUAAAAUGUGGCCCAUUUGGGGGCUCCUGGGUGGUUCAGUUGGUUAAGUAUCUGACUCUUGAUCUCAAUUUAGGUCAUGAUCUCACGUUUUGUGGGUUUGAGCCAUGUUUCUGGCUUUGCAAUGAUGGUGUGGAGCCUGCUUGGGAUUCUUCCUUUUUCUCCUUCUUUCUUCCCCUCCGCACUCAUGCUUGCAAGCUCUCUCUCUCUGAGACUUUCUCAAAAUAAAUAAAUAAAAAUGUGACGCAUUUGAAGAACUAUAAAAUUCACAAGGUAUCCCAGUUACUGGAGUUAACCCAGAGCUCUAAAACUUAAUAAAGCUAGUUUUGCAAGGGAGAAAGACUUGAUAAAGCCAGGAAGUUUAUUGAACACUUGGAUAACUAGAUACUUAGUUGUCAGGAGUUGGGUAAGUAUGGUCAUGCCCUAUUGUAAAUAUUGGAAAACAUAUGAGUAUCUGAAGGCUUGGAGACAGACAUCAUAAAUUGUGUCUUAUCAGUGGUCUGGUUUCUGUUUUGAGUUCCAGCCUGGGACCCUUUUCUGCUGGGAACCACCUGUCCCUGGCUCUGUUGAUCUUUGGAUUUCCCCAGCCCUCAGUCCCUUUCAGUUUUGAAAUGAAACCUACCCCACCGGGUGAGGUCAGGUACUGAGAGAACUUUGACAGCUCAUACCAGGUUGUUUUUUUUCUAGAGUCUGGUAUGUGACUGUGUGAAGUGUAAGGCUCAGCAGGCUGUGAUAUAGACUAAUUGAUGGUGAAUCACCUGUUGGGUAGGGCCCAGGUAGUGCCAUUUCUUUGGGUAACCAGGAAAACAUGUAGACCAAAUAUGUUGUCUUUCAUCCUCAGACACUUGAAACUUAAGAGUACAGUCACCAGAGAUCUGCCAUGAUCUCUCUGCCUUGGGUUACUACAGAAGGAAAGACAUUGUUUUAUUUCAGUGUCUUUUCUCCUCAUUUUUAGAACCUCCAUUCUUUUCAGGAAGGAGCCAAGUCCUUGGCCUCUUUCUGCUGCUCCAGCUUCUAAAUGUUUAUACUGUGCCUCCUGGAAUUGCUGCUUUGAUGUGAAGUGUCUCCUCUAGAUACCCCUAGACACACAUGCCCUGCCCCAACCCCUUCACAGAAUUUAGCUUCCCCUUUUCCCUUUGUUGUGAAACUAGUUUCCAUGAUGCUAUAGCACUUUGCUUGGAAUCUUUAUAAGUGGUACUGGCUCUUUCUGUAACUCACCCCAUACCACUUCCCCCUGAUUUUACCUGACUGUCCCCCAGCCACAUCCCUCAGCACUGCAAAACUGCUUCCAGACUUUCAAAUACUUUUCCCCCUUUGAGACUUCUGCUGGCCAGCAAGGUUACCUGAUCCUUGUCCUUGAGUACAGUUAGCAUCUGUACUCAACAUGGGGCUCAAACUCACAACCCCCAAAUCAAGAGUUAUAUGCUCUACUGACUGAGCCAGUCAGGUGCCCCUCAUUCUCCCAUGUUUGUUUAAAAUUUUAGUGUUUGACCUCUCCUCCUGGGACUCUGGCCCAGGCUAGGGGAUUGGUGGUCAGGUUUGGCCUGGGUCUAGUGACUCAGGGUAGACGGUGGAAUUAGGGAGCUUGGUGUCAACAUCUCAGAUGUGGGCAGAUGGGAAACUGUAAGAUCUGAACACCAGAGCCAUCUGGGGUGGAAGGGACAGAGAAAAUUUAGCAUCUGAAGCAAAGGACAUCCUUUGUAGGUUCCCUCUUCUGCUCAUUUGAAAAAAAAUUAAGGGGUGCCUGGGUGGCUCAGUCAGUUGGAUGUCGGACUCUUGAUUUCAGCUUGGGUCAUGAGCUCGCAGUUUGUUGAUCUGAGCCCUGCGUCAGGCUUCAUGCUGACAGUGCAGAGCCUGCUUGGGAUUCUCUGUCUCCUUGUCUCCCUCUCUUUCUUCCCCUCUCCCACUUCUGCACACCUGUGCCCUCUCAAAAUAAAUAAAAAUAAAAAAAUUUUUACAAAUUAAGUUUUUUUAUAACAGUUUUAGGUUCACAGAAAAAUUGAGGGGAAGAUAACAGAUUCCCAUGAUUAUUAUUUUUAAGUAAGCUCUAUGUGGGGCUCAAACUCACAACCCUGAGAUCAAGAGUCACAUGCUCUCUCUCUGCUCCUCUCCCCUGCUGUGCACGCUGUCCCUUUCUCUCUUUAAAACAAAACAAAACAAAAAAAGAGUCACCUGCUCUACUGACUGAGCCAGACAGGCACCCUGAGAUCCCCAUUAUUUUUGAAAAAUUGAUCUUUAAUUUCAUAGGGAAUAUAGUAAUAUAAUCUAAAAAAAAUGAAAAUCGGUAGACAUUUUGAAUUCUCUUGUUCUCCUCCCAUUCUCAUUUCACUUAUUUUUGUAUUCCUCAAAGGUGGUAACCUUGUUAGUGUUUGAAAUGUAGCUUCUAGACUUUUUUCUUUGUGUUUACAUACAUGUGUAUGAACCCAGAAAAAGAGUUAUUUUUGUGUUUAUACAAAUGGGGUCACAUUUUACGUAUUAUUUCAGUAUUUCUUUGAUUCAGUAAUGUACCUGGAUAAUAUUUCAUGUUGAUACAUAAAGAUAACUUCUCCUUUAUUUUGGCUACUGUGUAGUUUUUUGUAUAAUAGAUACACUGUGUAUAGCUACUUUCCUAUUGAGAGACAUUAAGGUAUUUCCAUUUUGAUGCUAUAAAUGAUUCUUGUUGUGUUUUAAAUGUUAGCAUUCUUUCCUAGGGCUUCUUUUUUCUUUUUCCUCAUACUCUUCCUAGGUGAUCUCAACUUCUCUGACAGCUCCACUUAACCAUCUACACAUGGAUGAUGCCCAGAUCUUUCUAUGGACCACAGUAUCCAACUGCUCAUGUAGACAACAUCGCAAGGAUGUUUUGCAUACUCGGCAAAAUGCAGUCUCCUGCUCUUCCCCACUUGCUCGUCAUCCAUUGUCCUCAUCACAUGUAAGUAGCACACUCUUGAUAGGCCCAAAGCCUGGUAGUCAUUCCCUUCCCCUCGUACAGCCAGCAACCAGCCUGUCACUAGGACUUUUCCUCCCCAUUAUUUCUUGGAUCCAGUUGCUUUCUUUCCUUCUUCAUUGCGGGUACUUUGUCCCUUAGUUUUCUGAUUUAUAAAAUAGAGUAUUUGUGAGUACUAAAUAAAUUAACACACAUAAAAUGCUUAGAACAAUAGAUUGGCACCCAGUAAGUGCUAUGUGAAUAUUGAUUAUUGUCAUCAUCAUCGUCACCGUUGUUGUUGGGGUCUUCUCAUCUUAGUGUACAUAAUCCAUUCUCAUAUCUACCUCCAGUCUUGAUUUUAUCCUUCCCUACCUCUGUUCCAUUCUGCACAUUGUAGCCAGAGUGAUCUUUAUAAUAUAUACAAAUGAUCAUGGUCUAACUUUCCUGCUUAAAACAACUUCGGUGAUUUCACAUUGGGCUUUUACAUGUACUGUCACCCCCAUCUGGAAUGCUUUUUCCUUGGUCUUUGCAUGGUUAUUUGUUUUUUUGUUUGUUUGUUGUUUUGAUAUACCUGUUUCUAAAUGUCAUCUUCUCAGAGAGGCCUUCCCCUGACCACCUAAUUAUUCCAAAGUAGCCAUACCUAUUCUUUCUAUCACAUCACCUUUUUUAAUCUUUGCAUAACACUUAUUAAUACGUUAUUUUUCUGUCUUAUUCACGUAUUUGUUUAUAAUCUCCUUCAAUUAAUUUUUUUUAUUUAAUUUUUUUUUUAAACUAGGCUCCACACCCAGUAUGGGACUUGAGCUCAUGACCCUGAGAUCAAGAGUUGCAUGUUCUACCAACUGAGCCAGCCAGGCAUCCCUAGUCUCCUUCAAUUAGAAUUAAAUUCUCUGAGAAAGACAGAUACAUGUUUUCACUCAUAUGUGGAAUUUGAGAAAUUUAACAGAAGACUAUGGGAGAAGGGAAGAAAAAAAAACAGUUACAAACAGAGAGGAAGGCAUUUCAUAAGCGACUCUUCAAUACAGAGAACAAACUGAGGGUUGAUGGGGGUGUGGGGUUGGUGGAACAGGGAAAAUGGGUGAUGGGCAUUGAGGAGGACACUUGUUGGGAUAAGAACUGGGUGUUGUAUGUAAGUGAUGGAUCAUGGGAAUCUACUCCUGAAGCCAAGAAUACACUGUAUACACUGUAUGUUAGCUAACUUGACAAUAAAUUUAUAUUAAAAAAAAAAAAGAAUUUUCUG